rnacentral:rRNA from 1 species
GCCGGCAGCUAGCUCUCUGCAACUCUCACAUGGUCGCCCACUGAAGCUAAGCAGGGCUGCGCCCGGUCAGUACCUGGAUGGGAGACCAUAUGGGAAAGCUAGGUUGCUGCCGGAA